rnacentral:rRNA from 1 species
AAACCAGCACCUCAAGUGGUCAGGAUGAUUAUUGGGCCUAAAGCAUCCGUAGCCUGAUCUGUAAGUUUUCGGUUAAAUCUGUACGCUCAACGUACAGGCUGCCGGGAAUACUGCAGAGCUAGGGAGUGGGAGAGGUAGACGGUACUCGGGAGGAAGUGGUAAAAUGCUUUGAUCUCUCGAUGACCACCUGUGGCGAAGGCGGUCUACCAGAACACGUCCGACGGUGAGGGAUGAAAGCUGGGGGAGCAAACCGGAUUAGAAACCCCGGUAGUCC